AUUGAACGCUGGCGGCAGGCCUAACACAUGCAAGUCGAGCGGCAGCGGGAAAGUAGCUUGCUACUUUUGCCGGCGAGCGGCGGACGGGUGAGUAAUGCCUGGGAAAUUGCCCAGUCGAGGGGGAUAACAGUUGGAAACGACUGCUAAUACCGCAUACGCACUACGGGGGAAAGCAGGGGACCUUCGGGCCUUGCGGGAUUGGAUAUGGCCGGGUGGGAUUAGCUAGUUGGUGAGGUAAUGGCUCACCAAGGCGACGAUCCCUAGCUGGUCUGAGAGGAUGAUCAGCCACACUGGAACUGAGACACGGUCCAGACUCCUACGGGAGGCAGCAGUGGGGAAUAUUGCACAAUGGGGGAAACCCUGAUGCAGCCAUGCCGCGUGUGUGAAGAAGGCCUUCGGGUUGUAAAGCACUUUCAGCGAGGAGGAAAGGUUGUUGGCUAAUAUCCAACAGCUGUGACGUUACUCGCAGAAGAAGCACCGGCUAACUCCGUGCCAGCCGCCGCCGUAAAAC
rnacentral:rRNA from 1 species